UAUAAAAAAUUAAACUUUUUUUUCAGGCUUCAUAAUUUUUUUUAAUACAUGUUUUUAUAAAGUUAGAUAUACUUUUUAAAUGAUUGUAUAUUUCCUUAAAAGUUAUGAUAUACUCAUAACUUUUAAGGGAAUCAAUGUGAAUGUCUUUAGUUUAUAUAGAUUUCUGAAGUUAGAACAAAGGUUAUCUAGCAACACAAGCUCUUUAAAAAGUUUGUUGUAAAAAUUUGUCCCCUUUGCAUUGCAACUAUCUCAUUGCAAAAAUGAAGAUAAUAAUAAAUUUGUGUAAAUAGCAAAAUAAGUUUGUUUUUGUCUCCAGUAAUCAUGUAGUGAAAAAUGGGGCAAGAUAGCUUUUCAUAUAAAAACUCAACAAAAAAACUUAAAAAUGGGUGAAAAUGAAUCUAUAUUUACAUCUUGUGUUUUAAAACACUAAUUUUUUAAAAUAUUGUUAAAGCAAGUUUAUAUAAGUUUACUUAUUGCAAUUAAAAAAUAUCUUGGUUUUAAUUAUUCAUAAUCGAUGGUGUCCUUCAGGUAUAACUUUUUUAGGACAAGUUUCUUUUGUGUUACUUUAGUUAGAGUAAUUGGUAAUUUUAUAAUUUUUAUAAAAUUGAAGGUGUAAAUUGCUCAAUAAGUCAUCUUGCCCCUGUCACAAGACCAAAUGACAAGUUUAUGAGCAUUUUAUUUUAAUUUUUAUUUCAAAUUUUUCUAAUUGCAAACUGAAAAUUGAUGCAGGCAAUGAAUAAUUAAGAUAACAUACUGACAAAGAAUUAUUGCUUCAUGAGUAAUAGUUUUGUGAUAAUUUAUUUGAUAAUUCAAGCCUUUCAAAACGUUUGCCAUCUUGCCCUGUUUUCCCCUGUAUGAAAAAUUAUUAUUCCCAUUGUAAACAGAUUGUUUUAAAUAUUAAGAUAUCAUUUGAAAUAAUAUCAACCCAAUUUGUGGAUUUUCUUUAUAGGAGAAGAAUGUGUUCUUCUUGAAUGAUAAUUAUUUGUUUCAGUGACCAGUUUAUGUUUUUAUUUGCUUUAUCAAAAAUUAGUUUUUUUCUUUAUUAUUUGCAAUAACAUUGUUAUCAGCAAAUUUUUUGUAUACAGCCCUUUGUUAUCAUUAAUUUCUUAAUUAUUUAUUAUAACAACUAGUUUUUUCUGAUGAAUCAUUAGCAUCAUAUUUGGAACUAAUAUAAUUUUCAGAUGAUGAUGAUAAAAUUAUUUCUGUGAUGGUAUUCAACCUGGUGACAAUGGAGCUGUUGGUGAACAACUCGCUCACCAACUAUUGGUAACCAACUUGCUGGCAAUAGAGCUAUUAGUGACCAACUUGCUGACAAUUGCUAUAGUAUAAAUUACAACAAUGGAUGAAAGAGACAAGCGUAGAAAAAAGAUACUGGAAAAUUCAAAACUUCGACUUAAAAAGCUGGAACUUUUAAAUAAAUCUGAGGGGAACGGAAUAAAUACAUGCCAUAAUCCGAUUGAAGUUGGUUUUAAUUCGAAAUUAAAAUCUAUUGAAGACGUUGAUCACAAUGACACUAUUUCUCAUAAGUUAAAUCCGGAUGAUUCACAUUUAAAUAAAACUUUAGAUGGUACAUUACUCUUUGAAAUGAAAAAAACAUCCAAAAUCUCAGAAAGCAGUUGGAUAAUCCGCAAAAGAAGAAUAUUUUUAUUUGUUCUGCUUGCCUGGGUGGUUUAUUUGACUACUCUUAAGGGCCUUGAUUUCUUAUUCGCUUUAUUUUAUUCUUAUAAACUUCCGCAGGAUGUUUUAGGAAACAUGGUUUUUAUGUUGUUUUUUGUUGUAGAGUUACAAGUCAUAAUUGUUGGUGUUUGGUUUGUUUAUAGAGGUUCUCGUUCUUUUCUUUUUACGACCUUUAAACUAUACGGUCUUCCUGAAAAUGUUGUUUUAUGUUGUGAAAAUAUAUGUUUUUUUUGUAGUAGCAUUCUAACUGAUUUUAGUGUUUACAUAUUUGUAUUGGUAUUUCUAUAUACUUUUGAUUUUUGAAAUUUUCAAUAUAUAAAACCAUUUUAUACUUAAAAAAUGUAUUGAAUUUCUUUAUUUUGCUACAUAUUUUAAAUACUCCAUAUUAUUCGGUAUUCUUCAUUUUUUAUAAAUUAUUACUAUGUUCAUAUGUAUGCCCGUGUAAAACCAAUGAUAUAUUAAGAAUAACUACUGUAGCAUGGGGUAAUUGAGCAUCUUAUUUGUAGUUUUUUUCAAAAUAAAAAAUGACUUGUAGAUAAUUUUAAAAA